AGUAGCCGCGGUAAUACGAAGGGUGCAAGCGUUACUCGGAAUUACUGGGCGUAAAGCGUGCGUAGGUGGUGGUUUAAGUCCGUUGUGAAAGCCCUGGGCUCAACCUGGGAAUUGCAGUGGAUACUGGGUCACUAGAGUGUGGUAGAGGAUAGUGGAAUUUCCGGUGUAGCAGUGAAAUGCGUAGAGAUCGGAAGGAACAUCUGUGGCGAAGGCGACUAUCUGGGCCAGCACUGACACUGAGGCACGAAAGCGUGGGGAGCAAACAGGAUUAGAUACCCCAGUAGUCCCUGUCUCUUAUACC
rnacentral:rRNA from 1 species